GGGGGGGGGGUGCUUAACACAUGCAAGUCGAGCGGAAGGCCCUUCGGGGUACUCGAGCGGCGAACGGGUGAGUAACACGUGAGCAACCUGCCCUAGGCUUUGGGAUAACCCCGGGAAACCGGGGCUAAUACCGAAUAGGACUGCUGGCCGCAUGGCUGGUGGUGGAAAGUUUUUCGGCCUGGGAUGGGCUCGCGGCCUAUCAGCUUGUUGGUGGGGUGAUGGCCUACCAAGGCGACGACGGGUAGCCGGCCUGAGAGGGCGACCGGCCACACUGGGACUGAGACACGGCCCAGACUCCUACGGGAGGCAGCAGUGGGGAAUAUUGCACAAUGGGCGGAAGCCUGAUGCAGCGACGCCGCGUGAGGGAUGACGGCCUUCGGGUUGUAAACCUCUUUCAGCAGGGACGAAGCGUAAGUGACGGUACCUGCAGAAGAAGCGCCGGCCAACUACGUGCCAGCAGCCGCGGUAAGACGUAGGGCGCGAGCGUUGUCCGGAUUUAUUGGGCGUAAAGAGCUCGUAGGCGGCUUGUCGCGUCGACUGUGAAAACCCGCAGCUCAACUGCGGGCCUGCAGUCGAUACGGGCAGGCUAGAGUUCGGUAGGGGAGACUGGAAUUCCUGGUGUAGCGGUGAAAUGCGCAGAUAUCAGGAGGAACACCGGUGGCGAAGGCGGGUCUCUGGGCCGAUACUGACGCUGAGGAGCGAAAGCGUGGGGAGCGAACAGGAUUAGAUACCCUGGUAGUCCACGCUGUAAACGUUGGGCGCUAGGUGUGGGGGGCCUCUCCGGUUCCCUGUGCCGCAGCUAACGCAUUAAGCGCCCCGCCUGGGGAGUACGGCCGCAAGGCUAAACUCAAAGGAAUUGACGGGGGCCCGCACAAGCGGCGGAGCAUGCGGAUUAAUUCGAUGCAACGCGAAGAACCUUACCUGGGUUUGACAUGGCCCGCAAAAUCCGGCAGAGAUGUCGGUCCUUCGGGGCCGGUCACAGGUGGUGCAUGGCUGUCGUCAGCUCGUGUCGUGAGA
rnacentral:rRNA from 1 species